rnacentral:rRNA from 1 species
UGGGGAAUAUUGGACAAUGGGCGCAAGCCUGAUCCAGCCAUGCCGCGUGAGUGAAGAAGGCCUUCGGGUUGUAAAGCUCUUUUGUCCGGAAAGAAAAGCUGUCGGUUAAUACCCGGCGGUGAUGACGGUACCGGAAGAAUAAGCACCGGCUAACUUCGUGCCAGCAGCCGCGGUAAUACGAAGGGUGCAAGCGUUACUCGGAAUUACUGGGCGUAAAGCGUGCGUAGGUGGUUCGUUAAGUCUGAUGUGAAAGCCCUGGGCUCAACCUGGGAAUGGCAUUGGAAACUGGCGACCUAGAGUGCGGUAGAGGGUAGUGGAAUUCCCGGUGUAGCAGUGAAAUGCGUAGAGAUCGGGAGGAACAUCCGUGGCGAAGGCGACUACCUGGACCAGCACUGACACUGAGGCACGAAAGCGUGGGGAGCAAACAG